rnacentral:rRNA from 1 species
UGGGGAAUAUUGGACAAUGGGCGCAAGCCUGAUCCAGCCAUGCCGCGUGAGUGAUGAAGGCCCUAGGGUUGUAAAGCUCUUUCAGCGAGGAGGAUAAUGACGUUACUCGCAGAAGAAGCCCCGGCUAACUUCGUGCCAGCAGCCGCGGUAAUACGAAGGGGGCUAGCGUUGUUCGGAAUCACUGGGCGUAAAGCGCACGUAGGCGGACUUUUAAGUCAGGGGUGAAAUCCCGGGGCUCAACCUCGGAACUGCCUUUGAUACUGGAAGUCUGGAGUCCGAGAGAGGUGAGUGGAACUCCGAGUGUAGAGGUGAAAUUCGUAGAUAUUCGGAAGAACACCAGUGGCGAAGGCGGCUCACUGGCUCGGUACUGACGCUGAGGUGCGAAAAGCGUGGGGGAGCAAAACAGGAUUAGAUACCCUGGUAGUCCACGCCGUAAAACGAUGGAAGCUAGCCGUCAGGGUGCAUGCAUCUUGGUGGCGCAGUUAACGCAUUAAAGCUUCCCGCCUGGGGAGUACGGUCGCAAGAUU